CAGCUGUCACCUCUCCUGGAGGGAUCCACCCUUGGCCCCCUGGCCUGACAGCAGCAGCAGGAGGAAGGAAAGUCCGCCUAACAGAGCUCGCAGCUCAACCCAGGGCCCCAUGAUUCUCAGGGACUCGGCGCUGUGGGCUGCAGGCAAAAGAGGUUAAUGGGUGCCCCCAUGCCUCCAGCCCCCCACCCUUCCAGGAACGUUCCCGCUCGGGCCGAGUCGGGACAUCCACUUCUCCAUGCUGGCCCCCGGAAGUGCCCGCGACCUGUGCUGUUUAACCGAAUCCACUCAGCAUCCUGCAGGCUCACACCCCAGUGCCCUCCACCACCCCAUCCACCCCCAGGCCUCGGCCUCCUUAACACACCCCCUAUAACUGAUCUUCAUGCUUUCAAAACCCACAUAUCAUUCAUACAGCCUCACCAAGCACCUGGAGCCUUCACAUCUUUUUCUGAGACAAGACCCACAGCAUCACGAGCUCGCUGGAUGAGCACCAGUCAGAGGCCAUCUCCCAGCUCACAGACCCAAGGCUCGGAGUCCACCCCGCACUCCCCCACUGGCAUUUUCUCCCCACCUGGCUUCCCCUCUCUCCGGGAGACUUCAGGCGGCCCAGCCUCAGCAGCGGCGGCUCAGACUGGAGGG
rnacentral:lncRNA from 1 species